GUUUUGUCAAAGCAUCUUGGGAUUUGGGGGGUCUGGUGUACACAGUACUGGAGACUGUAUCUUCAGAAGGAUAUUGAUACCUUAGAGAGAGUUCAGAGAAGGGCUACUAAACUGGUUCAUGGAUUGCUUAUCUCCUUUAGUGGAGGUUUUAUUAUUUUUGUAUUGAGACAUAUUUUGGGGGGUUGUUAGAGAUCUCUGCUGGUGUACGUUUCUGAGUUUAAGGAGCCCAUAUGCCGGAGCAGAUCAGUGUGCGGCCAUCUUGCUCGGUGGUCAGCCCCCCCCACAAAACGGCUUUUAAAAUAAUUUAUCUGCACUUGUGGGCUAAACUAGUCUGUAUGGAAAAAAUACCAAAGUAUGAUAACCUUUUCUGGUUAUUGGUCUAAAAUGUGAAAUUCUUUAAUCAAUAGCUUCACUCUAGGUUUGUUUUUGGUUUCAAGAACAGAGAGACAGAGGCUGUGAAUUACAGGAACAGUAAGAGACUGGGAAUGUGAAUUACAGGAACAGUAAGAGACUGGGAAUGUGAAUUACAGGAACAGUAAGAGACUGGGGAUGUGAAUUACAGGAACAGAAAGAGACUGGGGAUGUGAAUUACAGGAACAGUAAGAGACCGGGUAUGUGAAUGACAGGAACAUAAAGAGACUGGGGAUGUGAAUUACAGGAACAGAAAGAGACUGGGGAUGUGAAUUACAGGGACAGAAAGAGAC